GCUGCAUUAGCUCAAUGGAGAGAGCAUCGGGUUUCUACCCCGCAGGUUGAGGGUUCGAGUCCUUCAUGCAGUGCCA
rnacentral:tRNA from 1 species